GAUGAACGCUGGCGGCGUGCCUAAUACAUGCAAGUCGAGCGAACAGACGAGGAUCUUGCUCCUCUGACGUUAGCGGCGGACGGGUGAGUAACACGUGGAUAACCUACCUAUAAGACUGGGAUAACUUCGGGAAACCGGAGCUAAUACCGGAUAAUAUAUUGAACCGCAUGGUUCAAUAGUGAAAGACGGUUUUGCUGUCACUUAUAGAUGGAUCCGCGCCGCAUUAGCUAGUUGGUAAGGUAACGGCUUACCAAGGCAACGAUGCGUAGCCGACCUGAGAGGGGGAUCGGCCGCACUAGAGGGGGAACGCGGUCCAGGGUCCUAAGGGAGGCCGCAGUAGGGAAUCGUCCGCAGUGGGCGAAAGCAUGACGGAGCAACGCCGCGUGAGUGGUGAAGGUCUUCGGAUCGGAAAAAUCUGUUAUUAGGGAAGAACAAAUGUGUAAGUAACUAUGCACGUCUUGACGGUACCUAAUCAGAAAGCCACGGCUAACUACGUG
rnacentral:rRNA from 1 species